GGGCUCAUUUCGACAGCACCUGUACUGGAAUUGAAAUGACGCAGAGAAGAUUAGCAUGAUCCCUGCACAAGGAUGACACACAAAUCUGUGAAGUGUUCUACGUUUUU
ensembl:snRNA U6 U6 spliceosomal RNA